rnacentral:rRNA from 1 species
GACAAACGCUGGCGGGGUGCAUGAGACAUGCAAGUCGAACGGGGUUGAGCGGGCUUGCUCGAUCAACCUAGUGGCGGACGGCUGAGUAACGCGUAGGUGACCUACCCGGAAGUGGGGAAUAACUGCCCGAAAGGGUGGCUAAUACCGCAUGUGGUCGGCGAUUCGGUUCGCCGCCCAAAGCCGUAAGGCGCUUCCGGCGGGGCCUGCGUCCGAUUAGCUAGUUGGUGGGGUAAUGGCUCACCAAGGCGACGAUCGGUAGCUGGUCUGAGAGGAUGAUCAGCCAGACUGGGACUGAGAACGGCCCAGACUCCUACGGGAGGCAGCAGUCGGGAAUUUUGCCCAAUGGACGAAAGUCUGAGGCAGCAACUCCGCGUGAGGGACGAAGGCC